rnacentral:snoRNA from 1 species
AAAAGUCAGCACCAUCCCCAUCAGAUCUAAACACUGGCCUGUGUGGUUACAGAAGUCUUAUUGAAACUAGCUUCAAUGUAUUUGUAGCAUGUGGACUAGCUUCAAACAGUU